AUCUACACCCUGGAUAAGAACUUGUUUUAAAGACAGCGCUCCAUUAGCCAGCAGUCCUGUUUCAGUUUGUAUGUUCUUUAACCACUGUUUGAACAAUGAGGAUUCAAUAGCAUUCCUGAAGUGAGUAUCGGAGACGCCGGGAGCAGCGACAACAGAAACCGGUUGGUCGAGUUGGGUGGGGAGAUUGAUGAUGUCAGCGAUUUGAGAAGGUGGGGUUGUUGACAUUUUUACAGAGAAGCUUCCAGAACAAUUUCUGGGCCAAAGGUUUGAAGAAGAAGAGGAAAAGGGGAAUUCAUAGAGAGGUUUCAAGAAUGGAAGUCCAAAACGUGGCACUGUUACUCUCAUUUUCCAGCACUAUUGGCAAACUACUCCCUUGUGGAAUGUUUUAUUAGUAUAAUAAUA
rnacentral:misc_RNA from 1 species